UCAAUGUUGUCUGUAGGUGUUUUGUAUCUAUGGUGUCCAGUAGUAAAUUAUAUAGCUAUCAUAGUAGAACAAAAAAAUGAAAUGUAUAUUAUGAAAAUACUAGCAUAUUGAUAAUGUGAUGUUCUUUUGCUGAUCGCCUAUUGAUGAGUAGUUACUGCAUAAUCAGGAGUAUAUACAUGGUAUGUAGCACAACAUUCUAUUUUUUGAAAAGCAAUUAAAUGAUAGGUAUAAUCAAACAGAAUAAACAAGACUAAACAUAAAGUCACUAUUUGGACAUCGGUUAACUUCUGUCUCCCUAAUACAAACAUAAGGACAUACCUAGAUUUGACACUAGGACAAAUUUGGAUUUUUUUACGUAAUUAGCAUAUCCAGUGGCUGCAUAAAUAGUCACAUGAUUCAAGCUUUAUAAACUAUUAAUCGCCUGUCAUAAUCAAGUCAUAUUAUUUCAUAAUGUAUUCUUAUAUUUCAAUACUUGACAACAAUAAUUUAAAAAUACAAUUUCUUAUAAUCUUUCCAAAAGGGUUGUUUUAAAGAAAAGCAGAUAAUAGUGUAUUACCAACCCAUUUUUAAAUACUUUUUUUGACUAUUUCUCUCUUUAAUGGUAUGUGUAUUGUUUUACUUUACUACACUACGUUCACCAUUAUAUAAAUAUUGUUAUAUUAUAAAUUGCAUAUAUAAUUGUACGCUAUACUUAUCUGUUUGCUACUUGACACUUACCCGCUGAAAAAAUCAAAUACAUAUUCUUAGAAUACAGCAUACCAUUUCGCAAUGAAUUAUUACAACGAACAUGGAAUUAAUUAAAUUUGUAGUAACAUGAUAGUAGAACAUUUCGAGAUGAUUGCGUGGUCUGUCAGAUUAUUCAAUAGUAAAGUCAUUAGUCAUGCCAAAUAUUGAAAUGUGAUAUUUGUAUGAUUUCAAAGUGUCGCUUUAUAAAUUCAGAAAUUAUAAAGAAACUUAGGUUUUAAUACCCUCAAGUAAUGUUGACGUUAAGUUGAUAUAAUUAUGUUCGUGUAUGUUCUCUAUGGUCAUAUAUUUGAACUAUGUUGAUUAUUAUACGUUCCUUGAUUUAAACAUUUCUGCUUUGAGCGUUCCCCGUUAAGGUAAAUUUAGAAAACAGCACAUGAAAUCAAUCCCGUUUAUUUGUUUUUUGUAUACUGUUGUUUGUCGUUUUGUCUGUUGAGGCUUCUGCCAUGGCGUUGUCAGUUUAUGUUCGACUAAUUAGUUUGAAUGUCUGUUUGGUAUUUCCGCCUCUUUUGUAGACGGAACGCGUGUCUAUCACACAUCAUGUUCAUGGUAUGUUUAUUGUUUUACUUUACUACUCUACUAACACCAUUGUAUAAAUAUCGUUAUAUUAUGAAUUGCAUAGAUAAUUGUACGCUAUACUUAUCUGUUUGCUACUUGACACUUACCGGCUGAAAAAUUCAAAUAAAUAUUCAUUAAAAACA